UACAGCCAUAUCACAUUGAAACACUGGUUCCUGUAUGAUCACUGAAGUUAAGCAAUGUCAAGCCUGAUAAGUACGUAAAUGAGUGACCACUUGGAAAUACCAGGUUCUGUAAG